CUUCACAAUCUAGGGGCAUGUUUAUUUCACUGAAACUGAACUUUGAGUUAAAAUAGACUUUGGGUUGAAGUGAAGUUGGGCGAAAAUUAUUUUUUCCCUGCACUUUGUUUCAUAGCUAUGGAAUGAAGUUUCCUUAGUUCUAAAAGUGAAUGAUAUAAAACUAUAAUUUAUAUAUAAAUAAUAAAUAAGUUAAUAAAUAAUAAAUUAUAAAAUAAUAAAUAAAUAAAAUAUAAUUAUAUUUCUACAUAAUUUAAAAAAUUAAUCUAAAACAACUAAAUUAUUUAUUUAUGUAUAAGUUAUAUAAUAAUAUAAUAAUAAAAUUAUAAAGUAAAAAAUAUAUAAAUAAUUAACUAAUCAAUUUUUAUCAUAUUUUAAAUGUACAAACUAAAUAAAAAAAAAUGCUGAAUCUUACCUAAUCAAAUUUCAUCAUAUUUUAAAUAUGCAAACUAGAUAAAAAAGUAAUUAAAUUAAAUAUAUUUAAAUAUAACUAGCAUCACUCAUUAUAUUAUUUUAUUAUUUUUUUUAUCCCUCUUCACCAUAAUUGAUUUCGGUCCAGGUCGGGCCCGAAGUCAAUAACACUGCUCCGAAUACAGCGAAACAAAUAGCGAAAGUGAUCGUUUACGGCCGAAAAACGUCUUUGUCAUUUUCUAAUUUCACCAAAACAAACA
rnacentral:lncRNA from 1 species